UUGUCGCCAAACAACUACGAGCCUUACUUAAAACUUAAAAGACUUGACGGUACUUCACUACACCCUAGAGGAGCCUGUCUAAUAACCGACAACCCACGAUUAACCCAGCCCCUCCUUGCCCAACAGCCUAUAUACCGCCGUCGCCAGCCUACCUUGUAAAAGAAAUAAAGUAGACUAAACAGUAUUAUACUAAAACGACAGGUCGAGGUGUAGCUUAUGGGGGGGACCAAGAUGGGCUACAUUCUCCAACUGAGCAUACGAAUAACACUAUGAAACUAGUCUUUAAAGGCGGAUUUAGCAGUAAGAUAGGAAUAAAAUACCUAACUGAACAUAACGCAAUGAAGUGCGCACACACCGCCCGUCAUCCCUGCCACUUC
rnacentral:rRNA from 1 species